rnacentral:tmRNA from 1 species
CAUUUUUUUAUAGAUAUAUACAGUAAGGAAGCUUCUUCGGGAGCUAUGAUGAUAAACGCGCUUGUAAUAAGCGGGUAGGACCCGGGGGCGGUACCCGGCGCCUCCACCAUAGGCAUACUGACUGGAGCUCGAAAGAGGUAACAGUUUUAUAUGUCGCGCCAAUGUUAGGUACUGGUUCACCCAGACUGAAGAUUGGAGUUGCUGCAUACAGUAUGUCUUUGAUGGGGGCGAAAUAGGAUCGACUAACGCCUAAAGAGGUUAGCUUUCAUCCGGCGAGAUACCACCGUAUCGGUUCAAAACGCACAAAUGCAAACAGCAACCGUGCUCCGGAGGCCGCUGCGCUCGCAGCCUAAUCCGAAACUUAAGCCCUUAGCUCUAGCCAGCUAAGGCGGGGCACGCAGGAGCCUGGCAACAGAAUCC